AUCGCUUCAAAGCCUUUUGGCUAAGAUUAAGUAUAGUAUCUGUUCUUAUCAGUUUAAAAUUGACCAUGUGCUGCUUAAAUUUUUACUACACACACAAAAAAAGUUAAUAAUUGCUGACAUAUU
rnacentral:snRNA from 1 species